rnacentral:rRNA from 1 species
CAAUAGCGUAUAUUAAAGUUGUUGCAGUUAAAAAGCUCGUAGUUGGAUUUCUGGGUCAAGCUCCUGGUCCGCCGCUAUGCGGUGCCGACUGUGUGUAGCGUUGAUUCAUCCUUGUGGGAAUUCCAGUUUGGGCUUCGUUGUCCGGCUGGCGGAACCGCAUCUUUUACUGUGAAAAAAUUAGAGUGUUCAAAGCAGGCUUACGCUGUGAAUACAUUAGCAUGGAAUAAUACGAUAGGACUUUGGUUCUAUUUUGUUGGUUGGAGACCAAGGUAAUGAUUAAUAGGGAUAGUUGGGGGUAUUCAUAUUUAAUUGUCAGAGGUGAAAUUCUUGGAUUUAUGAAAGAUGAACUUAUGCGAAAGCAUUUACCAAGGAUGUUUNCAUUAA